UCGACCGGCUACAAGAGAAAUCAGAGAGAAAUAGCAGAACAAAAUCAAAUGUGGUCGUCGUGUGAUCUUUGGUGUCGUGACUCCCGAUGUUCUACAUUCCAUGCUGUUUUUUAGAUUUCAGGUCUGAGCUAGCCAUCAUAACCACAAUAUGGGCAAUUUCUGAUACUGCAGUCUGUCAAUAGCAACCAUCUCAGAAUCAUCAAUUGGAUAAGCAGCUCCUAGUUUAAUUGGAAAAACUCUGUCCUCGUGUACACUCAUUUGAAGGAGAGUGUAUAUUCACGAUGACCCUCUUUUCCUGUCCUGCCUUGGGUCAACUUUACUGAGUGAGGAUGAAGCACUUGUGGAUGCCUGGCUGUGGAUUUCCCGGGCCAAAAGGUAGGGCACGCGUCUCUUUUCUUCUUUUUUUGUGACUAUUUGGUGGCGUUGGUUAUGAAACGUUACGGAGUACGUUUAUUCCUGAGUCAAGACGGUUGACUGCAAUUUUUCUCUUUCCGUUUCUGCUAUCUCAAUCAGGGUUAAUUUAUUUAACUCAUUUGUAGAGCGACUGCACGUCAGGCUUGUUUUAUACCGUGAGGUUGUUAUUUGAAACUCGAAAACGUACGUUUUUUCAUUUGUAGUUUGAAAUUCUCCUAUCGAAAUCUGGUUUGUUUAUUAUGUUUAAAAGGUUGUGCUUGAUCGCUAGAUAACUGGCCUUCCUUCGCCGAUUUGAGUUUGAACUUGCGUUAUUUAAAAUUGAUUUUCACCCUAGGUCAAUUUCUAACAUUUUUACUUCAGCGGUCUUUUCAAUUGAAGUUCAAUUCUAUCUUUUUUUAGUUUAUUUCAGCGUUUUGCUCGGCCUUCAAGUGACGUAAUUUUUUUGUUUGAUUGCACACUGUAUUUUGCUAGGAAAUAACAAAGUUCUGUAACUACCCCGAGGGUACUUUAUGAAAUUUAUUCGAAAAUUAAUUUUAAAUCCAGUCAAAAUGAACGGAGUUUGUGCUUCUUCUGUUAAACUGCAAUCACAUUUUGGUGUUCGGGCACGUCGUACUUCUUAACUUCUAAUGGUCCACCAUGUCGAUGAAAUAAUUUCGAAAGUAAUUAACACCGUUCGUUUAAAUUCAGCUUGGAUAUGAUAUUGGUGGUGUUCUUUGAUUGAAUCUGACAACUUAAAACCCUGCCGUUAAGGCCGUUAAUCCGUUUUCAGUUUAUUUUAUUUGCGGAACUGAAAUGGUUUCUCCUCGGGUCCAAAAGCCGCUUUCACGGAAAAUUAUUAAAAGCGCCGAACAGAGAUGAGCGUACGCAAGUUUGAAGGGAAGUGGUGCUAGAAAUAUCUUGACACAUGGGAACCUCUGUUUAAAAAAGAAUUUUGGUUCAGUGAUAACGAAAAUUCUGUUUUUUGCUGUAUUUGUUUAACUAUUGAAAAUGCCCUCUUCAGCACAAUCCUCCCUUUAAAUUUGAAGGAAAGUAGAAUCGCUUAGUCCCGCUGAAAUUUAAAUAGUGGUUGGAAUGUUAGUGUGCUUUAAUCAGGACCGAAUGAACAGACCACCGUUUAUCUGCCACGAUCUGCCAUUUACUCAAUUGUUGCGAGUUGUUCCACCUCGUUCAAAAACUGUUCCGUUGUCGUGCCCCGUGACUUUUCUAUCACAUCUCCCAGCCCGUCCUUCGUUCGGCAUAUUUAACACGACAAACCGAACUGACCACGUCCACCUUGCAGGAAGUUCUGUUCUCUAUUCCGUUUAAUUUUUUUUAACGUGUAAUUUCGAUUGCGGCAAUUGUAUGCGAAUUUUGUUCAAAAUGCCGACAGCAGCGACUUGUUUCCCUGCACUAGUGCUACGAGAUCUGUGUGCGUGAUUGACGGAGUGUUCAGUGUUCACGCAAAAGAUUUGCAUUUAGAAUGUUGGACUUUGCAGCGUUUCGGGAGGAUCCUAGAUCUCGUAUCGCUCCGUUUAAACGUGACACUGAGAAACCCGAGAAAAAAAAUUGCACUCAGAACUUAUUGUUUAUUUCUUGGACUUUGGGAAGAAAAUUGAAUAAAUUUAGCAGUAAUCGCGUUGUUUUAUCGAAAAAUGCCCCUUUCCGUUUCUGAACUACGAGGAUCAAGGUGUUCGGUACCGAUUGCGUAGCUAAUGAUCGUCAUCAGUUAAUUUCCUUACACACGCCAACGUCUAUUGUGUGGAUUUAAUACCAACGUCAACGGAUAGGGAGAAAAAGUUUUUAUUCUGCGCAGGGACAGUUAACAAGACAUGAUUUCUUGGCCAGCUGGUUUUGGGGCACAAAAAUUCUGUUCAUCCCCCUCGUUUUUUCAUUCUGCCAAAGGAGUGGUAGCUCCAAUGGAAAAUCAGCGAGAAAAGACAACAAGAACCAAGAAAAUUCUGUGUAAAACU